UGUUCUGUGAUUUAGUUGUUUAAAGCGCCUGUCUAGCGAAUACGGAGUUGUGGGUUCGAAUCCCACCAGAACGA
rnacentral:tRNA from 1 species